CCCUUAGAUGUUCUGGGCUGCACGCGCGCUACACUGACGCACGCAACAGGUGCCUGCUCCGAGAGGACUGGGUAAUCAUUUGAGUGUGCGUCGUGAUGGGGAUAGAAUAUUGUAAUUAUUACUCUUCAACGAGGAAUUCCUAGUAAGCGCCAGUCAGCAGCUUGCGCUGAUUACGUCCCUGCCCUUUGUACACACCGCCCGUCGCUCCUACCGAUGGGUGAUCCGGUGAAUGAUUCGGACUUCAGCGGCUCCCCUGGGGUGCGCCGGAGAAAGUUUUGUGAACCUUAUCACUUGGAGGAAGGAGAAGUUGUAACA
rnacentral:rRNA from 1 species